CCCUCGCCCUUAGUUGCCAGCAUUUAGUUGGGCACUCUAAGGGGACUGCCGGUGAUAAGCCGAGAGGAAGGUGGGGAUGACGUCAAGUCCUCAUGGCCCUUACGGGCUGGGCUACACACGUGCUACAAUGGUGGUGACAGUGGGCAGCGAGACCGCGAGGUCGAGCUAAUCUCCAAAAGCCAUCUCAGUUCGGAUUGCACUCUGCAACUCGAGUGCAUGAAGUUGGAAUCGCUAGUAAUCGCAGAUCAGCAUGCUGCGGUGAAUACGUUCCCGGGCCUU
rnacentral:rRNA from 1 species